UUAGUAUGACCAAGAUGGCCACCGAAUUAUGCCUCUACGUCUCGUGGGUGCACAGGAUUACAACUGCAGGGCACAGGAAACGACGUUAAUUGAAGUCUGCAUCUUCUGUAAUGUUGUUAUGUACACAGUAAUCUUAUUGCGAUAUUUCUGAUACAUUUCAUUUUUAACCAUUCCCAGAACCGUCAAAUGUUUCUAGGCAACUAAAAGAAGCUGGUUUCAUUAAGUUGUAACUAAAAAUAAUAUGGCGAUCAUAAUUCAGUCAUUCAUGCAUCCAUCCCAUUGAAUGUGGGACUGUUAUUUUUCUUCAGCUCUAUUUGCUGUGCUAUUCAUAAUUUUGCUUCAUUAUUUUUUUGUUACACUCAUACUGUUGAUUUGGGAAACAGAUUGACGUCAAAACAACUAUGAUGAUUACGAUCCAUUUACUCCAAAAUACAACAUAUAUAACAUCAAUGUUAAUAUUCAUCAUCCAGUUUGCAUUUGUGCGAAGGUGACACAUGUUGCUUGUAUAACUGGAUUAAAAACUCACAUUAUCACCCACUCAUCGGAAAACAAUUCUCCCGGCUUCUCUGAAUUUUGCAUAAUACAUAUAUUUUUAAGUUCAAUCAUCCUUGAUUUCCUAACGGUCUAAAUGUGUGAUCAUGGUGUUUCUUUGAGAGAUUGUAUUUAAAAACAAACUCUCUGUCACAGGCCACUCCUGUCUGCUCUAUUUGGAAGCCUUCAAGUGUGAAACGUCAACGUCACUGCACAUUAACUUCAAGACAGACCACAAGCAGACAGAGCGCAGCCUGACAGUAUUACGAAUUUCCAGCAUUUACAAGAGGAAAAUUGAUUUCAGAUCUGAUCAGCAAUAAGGAAUAUGACACCCCUGUGAAUCCAAAUGAAAUUCAAUUCACAUUUGCCUAGCUGUUUAUUAAAAAAUGAGGUUUUCAUUUACAUUUCAUUUGGUUUUGGCUUCAAACCCGAUUCAGCUCAGAAUCCAAGAUUCUAUGUAAAAACAGGUCAUGAAAAGUAAUACAUUUUGAAACCAGCUACACGUCCUAAUUAACCCAGCUAAUGCUCAAUAAAACAAACCAAUGGAUGAACAUGCUAAGAGUAACAAAACGUCACUGAUAUUUCAAUAGGAAAGGAUUUCAUAUUUUUCAGUUUCACUUAACCUUGAGUGUAUAUAGCAUGUAAAGUAACACACAAAAGCUGUACGAUGUACACUGUAUGUUCUGCUCUUGGGCCACCAAGAAAAAUCCUGCAAAUCCCUAAAUCUGUCAUUUGUGUUGGCAGCAAAUCAGUAGAUUAGACAGAAAAAGAGCAAGAAAAAGAGCAAUGAAGGUUACUUGCUAUUUGCCGUGCUGUCCCCAUUAUUGAUAUUCUGCUUCAGCUCCUCUAGUGUCCUUGGCUUUGAUGAUAAGAAUCAUACUGAGCUCCGAUGAAUAAGUGUGCGCCCUUCACAAGAUUGAAUUACAAAAUUGUGGUCAGGGGUUCUCAAGUAUUUUCGUGAAAGGCCAGAUAUAGAAAAUCCCAAGGAUAUGGGACACCCUCCAUAUCUAUCACAUUUAGCGGAAUUUUCGUUCUACAAAACACACCUGACAUCAAAAUGUUGCUAUAAAAACUAAUUUGUACAUGCAUUAGCCGCCUCGGAAUAAUGGCUCCGGGUCUCCAUGUUUUAAGAUGGGAUAUUUCCGAAAAAGAAAAAAAGGCCACACAGAUGAACUUUUAUAAACUUGUUUUUAACUUAAAUACAGGAGCCCCCCCCCCCCCUCACACACACACACACACAAAGUCAAUGCAAAAUGCAGCUACUUAAGCAGCAGCGUCUAAAAAGCCUUUCACAGCCUUUUGUUGCCACACGAGUCCAAUUCGCUGAGGCAGCAGUGCACAUAAGUCCGUGGCAGCGCAGCCUUUGGAAAGCUGUUUGUGACGUGUUUGGGAGCCGCAGAAGAUGUCGGUUCCAUGGCAUCAGUGCUGUCCUUUCUGGCUUGCGGCUAGCGCUUGUCCUCCAUUUCCAGCCAUGGUGGAAGUCGGUAGUCCAACAAACAACAGAGAAACAGUCUCGUAGCCAAAAGUAGUUUAUUCAAGCAUACUAUAAGUAAACUUUUUUUGAAUAUUAAAUCGGGGCAUUAUACUUUAAGUGUACUUUUUAAAUAUUAUAUUUUUAUCAACUUCACAUACACAUGCUUAAGUACGCUGGGCUUGUACUGAAAUAUUUACAGACAGAUACUUAUGACUUCCAUCCAUCCAUCUAUUUUCUGACCCGCUUUAUCCUCACAAUGGUCGCGCGGGGUGCUGGGGCCUCUCCCAGCUGUCUUUGGGCAGUAGGGAGGGGACACCCUGAACCAGUUGCCAGCCCAACCACAGGGCACACAGAGACAAACAACGACGCUCACCCUCACACCGAGAGACAAUUUAGUGUUCAAUCAGCCUGCCACGCAUGUUUUUGGAAUGUGGGAGAAAACCGGAGUACCCAGAGAAAAUCCACCCUUGGCCACGGAGAACAUAAAAACUCCACACAGGGAGGCCGGAGCUGGGAUUGAACCCGGUACUUCUGCACUGUGAGGUUGACGCGCGAGUCACUCAAACACCAGGCCGCAUGAUUUUUAAAACUUAAUUUGUUUACAUUUAGUCUGAAAAAGUAUACUUUAUAUACCCAAGUAUAUUUAUAAAGUAUACCCUGUACUACUUUUUCGUUCACUGUACAGCUGGCCAAAUUUGUGGCAUUCGUUCCACACGGUCAUUAAACUUAACUCAAAAUGCUUAUUUUUGCUUUACUGUGUUCACCAUCUAUAUUCACGCAUGCAUAGACACAGACCUCGGUGUUUCUCAGGCGGCCUGUGCGCAUACUCCAACCACAAAUGAUUGAUGAAUAUUCUGGAUGAGGGCUGGCUCGGGACAAUUUCAUUGGGCCACUGUGAUGUGUUCAGUCAUGUCAGUGGUCAGAUGUGAUGAGACUGGGGGUAAAUCUAUUGAUGACUUGAAACCCGUCAAUAAAAAUUUGCACGUUAUAAGUCGCAGGGUUCAAAUCGUGUGGAAAGAAAUCGGGGCUUGUGGUUGGAAAAUACAGUAGUUAAUUAAACAUUCUAAAACCAGUGAAUCGGGGUGGGCAAAGGUUUACUAUCAACAAUAUUUUCUUUGUAUAUUACGAUGGGGGACGCAGAACAGCUGGCACAAGACCGCCAGUGCUGGAAGAAACUGGUUCAAUUGGUCUGCUCAACACACAGGAUUGGGCGCCCCUCCUCUUGCAGGAGAAUUUUGAUUUGAUUGAGUGAUGUAUACAUUUUAAACUAAAACCUUGGUCUCAAUGGCACAAAGUAAACUGCAUUGGAUUUAGUGGUCACCAAACCCGCUUGAGCAGAUUUGACUGCACUGAUCAGCACUAUGCCAAGUGGGCAAUCAUGGAGGCUGAGCAGAAAAUCACCACGGUUAGCACUGUUUGCCGUCUUACAGCGAAAUAUACUGUACUAGCUGGUUCGCCGCCCUCCGGGCGGCUCAUCAGCUAGUUCCUGCGGAAGGCUGGUAAGGUAGUGGUUCGCCGCCCUCCGGGCGGCUCAUCAGCUAGUUCCUGCGGAAGGCUGGUAAGGUGGGCCUUUGGCCCACAAAAGUGUUGCUUGGUUCAACUUUUUGUUCAUCUUCAUUGCUUAUCGCGAAAAUAAAGAGAUGUUUAGCUCUACUAAAUAACUAACAAUUUUAUUGCAAUGCUUGUGGGUAGACAAUAUUUUUUUAGACCAUAUUUUUUAAUUAAUCGCUUUUUUUUAAAUCAAGUAUUAGAAGAGAUGCGUCAUUGACUGGCAUGAACACUUGCCUCAUAGUUCCUGAGGCGCUGGAUCCAAAUCUGGGCUCUGGCUUUUUUACAUCUUUGCAUGUUGCAUGUUGUGCUUGUGCAAGAUUUCUCUGGCUUCCUCAAGCAUGUUGUUUUAUUGAAGUCUCAACAUUUUGGGUAUGUGCCCUGCAAUUGUUUGGCAAACAAGAAUUCAGGGUGUAUCCCUUCUUCUCCUCAGUUGGGGGAUGAUCCAGCACACCUCCCAACCUAAUGAGGACAAGCUAUAUAGAGAAAGGAUGUAUGGACUUGACCAUAGGAGCCCGUGAGAUCCAAACUGAGUUGAUUGAUUAUCGUACUGACUAAAAGCCUACCUCUGCAGAUAAGGGCACGUGGUCGAGAUGCAGCCUCCAGGUCUUGAGCUUUACGUACAGAAUGCUCCCCCGACAAUGAUUUAGGCCAGGGGUCUCAAACUGCAGUCCUCGAGGACGCCUUUCCUGCAUGUUUUCCAUCUCUCCCUGCCGCAUCACCCCUGAUUCAAAUGAGCGGCUCAUCAGCAUGCUCUGCAGGAGCAUGAUAAUAAUCCUGAUCAAAACAUGCAGGAAAACGGCCCUCGAGGAUCGGAGAUUGAGACUGAUUUAGACCAUUUUGGCGCGUGACCAUGUGCUUGUUGUUACUUGGUUGUUUGGGUUGGUUCCACUUUAGCCCCCCUUGCACCCCCCUUUAUUUCUCCCUCUACCCAUAGCUCACAUUGUGCCUCAUUCUCUUCUGUCUCGUCUUGUUAUCAAUAUGGCAGCCUUUUCUUUCAGUCCACUCUUUCAUUCCUCUGCUUCUCAUUUGUCAUGCGACAAAAAGGAGCCUGCUCCACGGAUUUGGUUGAAGCACAAAUGUCUCUUUUCCCCUCAGAUGCAUCCAUUAUUCAAUCACAUUUGUAAAGCUUCUUGGAAUUGUUCGCGCAUUCCAAACAAACAAAAAGAAAGCUCCAAUACUAUAAAUGAACAUAAUCCUACCCAAUUUACUUAAAAGCGUAUUUGUUGGACAACACACUAUUGUCUCAGAGGGCUACUAUGGUGUAUCCUAGCUGUAAAACAUGUCUUUCUGUAUCUCAAAAUGGGUUUUGAAAACAAAAAAAAAAGGCCAGCGGUGGCAUCAGUUCUUCAAAUAUAUAUGCUAAGUUAGAUAAUUCAAGAGACUGUUUCAUUUGAAGUGCAUUAUUUCCACUCUCAAGUAGAUUAACCCAUUCACUCCCAAAUACGUUUUUAAACGUCUUUUCAGACGUGGUCUAUAAUUGGCUGGUACUGAAUGAGUUAACUGCUUCGACAUUUUCAGCUAAGAAGAUACGGCUAUUUCAUCUGUCUUAUUUCAGUGUCCUAUUUGCUUGCAUUCAAUCUCAGCAACAAAAUAAUACCUCCCCCUUUACAUCACCUUCUUUCUCCAAUUUAUCACUGGACUACAUUUUCUCAACCCUUUAAUCAACUUGAUGUUGCUCCCUCUGCCAAAUAACAGUUAUCUUAAUUGAAAUCGGUGGAGAGCUAUGGAAUUGACUGUGGCCAGGAGGGGCUUAUGAUGUCCCAGUUCCUCUCGCAACUCUUCUUGAACAGUAUCUGUCUCUGUCACGGCGCCUGAACAAAAUCCACAUUUCCCAAAUGAAGCCUCCAGCCCCCUUGGUUUUCUCUCCACUUUUGUGUACGCAUUUGGCUUGCGUGUACAAAGACAGACUGGGAGGAAAGAUGGGAUGGAGGCAGGGAGACAGAUAUGCACUUAGAUUCUGAGUCAUCGCAGCUGCUACAAGACCAGGGAAGUUCCAGUCAGGGCUCCGCUUAGAUCAGAAGCCAGAAAAUAGUUUGAGGACAAUUAAUAGCCCCAAAUUAUGUACCUAUUACAUAGCAUCUCAUCAAAAUGUAACAAUCAUCCCUUCCUGCAAGCAACUCGUCAAGUUACGCUUGGUGUGUGCCCGAGUGUAAAUAGUGAGAUCAAAUAAAGUGUAAAUAUUGACGAGAUCAAAUCAAUUCUUCAAUCUACUGGUACAUUUGUAUUCCACUGUGUACCAAAAAUAUAAGGGUGUGUGCUCUGCAUACAGACAGGUAUGUCAGCUAUCCGCUAACAGACUUGCACACCCGUGAUCAUUAUCCAUGUGACAUGUAUACAUUUGGCCGGAUGGUUAUUUAAUACCCUCCUCCCUCAUCAAACACGCCCCUUCCCCCUCCCCCUCCUCGUUGUCCCUAAGUGUAGCAUAUAAUACACAUAGACCAAAUUUGUUGGUACCCCUCUUUUGAAGAAAGAAAAAAAAUAAAAGAAAGAAUAAUAAUAAUAAUAAGAAUAGUAAUAAUAAACAAUGUAACGAACAUUAACCAAUAAAGAGUGGUCAAUUGGUUAGCACGUCAACCUCACAGUCCAGAGAUGCAGAGUUCGAUGAUGGCCCUGGCCUUCCUGUGUGGAGUUUGCAUCACGCCCGCGACCCUCACAAGGAUAAGCAGAUUCGGAAAUGGAUGCAUUGAUUGACGAAUGAAAA